GGGUACAUGGUCUAAUGGCAAAGGCGCCCGCUCCUACGGGAGUGACGCUGGCCCCAGCCGGUAACGGUUGGCAACCCAGCGGAGAGGAGAUGCGGGUUCGAGUCUCGCUGUAUCCA